rnacentral:snRNA from 1 species
CGCUGAGUUUAAGCAUAUCAA